UGGCAGACGGGUGAGUAACAUGUGGGUAUCUUCCCUUUGGCCUGGAAUAACACGAGGAAACUUGUGCUAAUACCGGAUAAGUCUUUACGGAGAAAGCUUUAUGCACCAUUGGAUGAGCCCGCACUUGAUUAGUUAGUUGGUAGGGUAAAAGCCUACCAAGACUUUGAUCAAUAGCUGAUUUGAGAGGAUGAUCAGCCACAUUGGGACUGAGACACGGCCCAAACUCCUACGGGAGGCAGCAGUGGGGAAUCUUGCACAAUGGAGGAAACUCUGAUGCAGCGAUGCCGCGUGAGUGAAGAAGGCCCUUGGGUUGUAAAGCUCUUUCGUCGGGGAAGAAAAUGACUGUACCCGAAUAAGAAGGUCCGGCUAACUUCGUGCCAGCAGCCGCGGUAAUACGAAGGGACCUAGCGUAGUUCGGAAUUACUGGGCUUAAAGAGUUCGUAGGUGGUUGAAAAAGUUGGUGGUGAAAUCCCAGAGCUUAACUCUGGAACUGCCAUCAAAACUUUUCAGCUAGAGUUUGAUAGAGGAAAGCAGAAUUUCUAGUGUAGAGGUGAAAUUCGUAGAUAUUAGAAAGAAUACCAAUUGCGAAGGCAGCUUUCUGGAUCAUUACUGACACUGAGGAACGAAAGCAUGGGUAGCGAAGAGGAUUA
rnacentral:rRNA from 1 species